GGCUGGUCCGAGGGCAAUGGUGUUUACAACUAAUUGAUCACAACGAGUUACAGAUUUCUUUGUUCCUUUUCCACUCCCUUGCUUCACUUGACUAGCCUUAA
ensembl:Y_RNA Y_RNA Y RNA